UGUUUCUACCUAUCUCCAAGGUUUGAUCAGUAAGCUCCUUGAAUCUAUGUAAGUGUCUUCUUCUUUUCUUUAGAUUAUCCUUCCCUUUAUGAUCUAGUUCUGUCUUGCAUAGGCGUGGGAAAAAGCCGAGUUUCAACUCCAAUCUUUCAGGAAUCAUUCUAAACUCUUCCUCUUUUUACAGAUCAAGAUUUUAUCUUGUUGCGACUGAGCUUCUACUUGAAACUCCAGGGUAAUUGUUGCUUAUUGUGUUCUAAUUUUACCUUCUAGGCUCUCUCUGUUUUGUUUACUCUUUCAUUUUCAACAGUAAAUAAACUUCCCUUCAUAUCAUUUAAUUGGGACCAAAGCUUCUUGGACACACUGAUUAUUCGACGGUAAAUAAUUUUUCCUUUAUAUAAUAUGUUACUACUACUUUUUCUUGCCAUUGUAUUCGAAUCUUGUAUUAACAAUUUACGUAAUAAGCUUUUAUUAAUCAAAGUGUUCCUUAUUCUUGUUAUUUCAGC
rnacentral:lncRNA from 1 species